UGGCUCAGUUUGUAGAGCAUGGUGCUUGCAAUGCCAGGGUUGUGGGUUUGAUUCCCAC
rnacentral:tRNA from 1 species